AAAAUUGAAGAAUUAUUUUAUAGUUUUAACACUUUUUUGUAGGGCUAUAAUUGAUGCAAGCAAUGCUGAUGAUUUUUUGUGAAAGUGACAAUAGCCAGGUCGUGUAUAGAACAAGAUACUGGUAAGAUAUUAUUAACUUAUAUAUUAAUUUAACUGUUUGUAAAAUAUGGUAAUCAUAAAAAGUAUAUAUGUAAUCACCUAUAUAAUAAUAAUACAUGUUAUACAUCAGUUUUAUUGAACAUGUCUUUGUUAACUUGGUUUUCCCAUUGAAAAAUCACUUUACUAAUUUAAUUUGUAGUACUAAUAGUAAAUGUAUGUAGGGCGGCUCCUAUACAUACUUUCCAUUCAAUAACUUGCAAUGACUAAUGAACUGUUCAUACAUUGUACAUUCCAUUUUAAAUAUAAUGAAGGGGGAGAUUUUUAUUGAUACUUAUGAAGAUAUUUCACCUGUUUGAUUAAUUGAUUGGUUGUUGGUUUCUUACGUCCAAUGGCAAAUAGUUCAUGCAUGUUUACACAAAAGGUUUAGGACAAAUUAAAAUAGAUACAUUAUUUGGGUUCUUUAAAAUGCUAAAUUGAACAAUGUAAAAUGUAUUUAAAUUCAAGAUGUUGCAAUGACCCCAUUUUAAAUUGUUUCACGUUGAUUUCAAAAAUGGUUAAAAAAAAACAUUCUCUACAAAAAUUGAAUUCUUGAGGUUCUUUCAUAAACAAAAUGCCAAUGUUAAAUAUUUAGAUUUUUAAUUUUGGUCUGGUUUUCGAAUUUAUCCACAUUCUAAGCAUGCUAAGGUCCAAAGGAUCCAAAUUUUAACUUAGUUUAAUAUAAAUGUAAACAAAAAUUGAACUCUAUUAUAUUUAGUUUUUUUUUUGAUAUACAGAAAUAAUCAAAUAUCCUGAAUAUGCAUUUGUAAAUAUGUACUUUAACUUAGAUUUAUGAUUUUGGUCCUAGUUUUCAGGUUGGUUAAAACGGUCAGGGUCCACAAUUUAACCAUGUUAACAGUGUUUGAUUUUAACAAUAAAUUUAUAUAUAUAUGCUGAAUCCAACCUGUAUUUAGUUUUUAUGCCCCACCUAUGAUAGAAGAGGGGCAUUAUGUUUUUCUGGUCUGUGUGUCCGUUCGUUCGUCCUUCCAACCGUCUGUCCUUCUGUCCGUUCCUCCCGCUUCAGGUUAAAGUUUUUGGUCAAGGUAGUUUUUGAUGAAGUUGAAGUCCAAUCAACUUGAAACUCAGUACACAUGUGCCCUAUGAUAUGAUCUUUCUAGUUUAAAUGCCAAAUUAGAGUUUUACCCAAAUUUCACGGUCCACUAAACACAGAAAAUGAUAGUGUGAGUGGGGCAUCCGUGUACUAUGGACACAUUCUUGUUGGGCAAUGUUAUGAAAUUUAUUUACAUUGAAGUUUAAAGGGUCCAAAAUUUAACAUCUUUUGAAAAUCUAAAUUUGAUUUUAUGCUGAAUCUAUUAAACUACAUCUUUUUAUGUGUACCAUAUUUAUUCUGUGUUAGAAACCAUAUUAUUUUUCAAUUUUUUAAUCCCAUUACAAAUUCAGAUGCUUGAAUGUUUUGUUCAAACUUGCAUUUUUUCUUCAUCUUCCACAAAAUUUGUCCUUUACUGAGAUAACUGGUGUUAUCUUUUUAAAUGAAACAUAUUGUGCUAAAAUUUGAAAAGAUUAGCACAAUAUGUGGGUGAUUAUCUGAUGUCAAACAUUUUCAAGAUGGCCACCAAGGAUGGCAAAAAAAAGAGUUACAAGUCAUCUUUAUUUCCUGUCAGUGGUAUACAUGUAAAUGAACAUUAGAAAUAUGAAAAAAAUGUGGUAUGAUUGCAAAUGAGAACAAAUGACAUACAAGUAAAGCUAUAGGUCUUCAUAUGCCAUAUGGCCUUCAACAAUGCACAAGACCAAUACUAUCUAUUCAGCAAUAAAAGGCCAAAAAUUAGAAAAUGAAAACAUAUGAAAGCUAACAGCCUGAUCUAUAUGUAUGUUUUGUGGUUUUCAGAUCUAGACUCACAGCUAACUGAACUUUUACAGCAGUCAACAUCAGAUUGGAAGACUGUUUAUGCUGCUGACAGAGACAAUUUCAACCAACCAAACAAGCAACAGAAACUUUGCAUCUUUAAAACACCACUUAAAUCUUCCAUGGG
rnacentral:lncRNA from 1 species